rnacentral:rRNA from 1 species
AACGAACGCUGGCGGCAUGCCUAACACAUGCAAGUCGAACGAGACCUUCGGGUCUAGUGGCGCACGGGUGCGUAACGCGUGGGAACCUGCCCUUAGGUUCGGAAUAACUCCCCGAAAGGGGUGCUAAUACCGGAUAAUGUCUUCGGACCAAAGAUUUAUCGCCUUUGGAUGGGCCCGCGUUGGUUUAGCUAGUUGGUAGGGUAAAAGCCUACCAAGGCGACGAUCCAUAGCUGGUCUGAGAGGAUGAUCAGCCACACUGGGACUGAGACACGGCCCAGACUCCUACGGGAGGCAGCAGUGGGGAAUAUUGGACAAUGGGCGAAAGCCUGAUCCAGCAAUGCCGGGUGAGUGAUGAAGGCCGUAGGGUUGUAAAGCUCUUUUACCCGGGAUGAUAAUGACAGUACCGGGAGAAUAAGCACCGGCUAACUCCGUG